AGUGCUCCCAGGUGGUGCUCCCGCUCCCUCCAGCUCGGGAGACGUCACGCCCCCUGGCACUGUGAGCACACCCCCACCCACCCCCCACACACCUCCGCACCCUGCCCACUGGCCCGAGGGAGCCCCUCACUCACAGGGAAUUUCCCUCCCUGGUCACGUCCCUGGCCCUGGCCCAGCCCCAGCCCCAGCUGUGGCCGGUCCCCCAGGGCCGGAUGGGUGGACCCGGCUCACCGGGCUGGGGACUGGGGAUGGAAAAUGGUGGUUCCAGGGCAGAUUGGCUAGUGAAUUCUUAGAUGUACUGAAGUGUUUACCUAACUCCAAAUCCUGGCCCUGCCCCAGUGCUGCAAUGUGUACUGAGCACAUGCUAGGAGCCCAAGGAUAUUUGGAAGAAAGAAAACCCAAGAACUUUUGUGUCCUCCUAGGGCAAUUUCUGGGAUAGAUGAGGAACUACUGGAGAUAAUAAACAAAAAGGAACGA